UGAUGUCUGUCCGCAUCAUUGUUUGAUGUCUGUCCGCAUCAUUGUUUGAUGUCUGUCCGCAUCAUUGUUUGAUGUCAUGUCAACAUCAUUGUUCGGUGCCUGUAAACAUCGAGUUUCCUCCCGGUCAUUGGUUAAUGUCUGGUCGAGCUUUUUUUGGUGUCAGUAAACAUCAUCGUCCGAUGUUCAGUAAACGUCGAGUUUCUUCCCAGUCAUCAGUCAGUGUCUGGUUGAAGGUGUACCCUCUGACGUGUUGCCCUUAGAGUGGUGAUUAGUGAAGUUUCCGACUAUCAGGUUGAAGCACUUAUGGUAUUCAGGCCAGUUUUUCGGAGUUCAGACCGAAGUGGUUUUCGGACCAGGUAGAAGAAGAGAAAAUUUUCGGGGUUCAAGAAAAGCAAAAAAAGAAUGAGAAUCCCGAGUGGAUGUGGUGUUCAGGCCAUGGUUAUCCCUGAGUUACCAUUUAUUUUGGCAUCCAGGUCGUCGGUUUUUCGAGUUUUUCUUCGCCGAUGCUGACAG
rnacentral:lncRNA from 1 species